UACAUUUCUUCUGCCUUUCUGUGUGUGUGACUGUCACACAUGCACCAGACAUUAACAAACACACUUAAUUCAUCACCAGUGCUAUUAGGAGCUGUUUGGAGGAGAUUUCUAUUUGCCACCACGUUCUCUCUGCAAAGGCAAGCUGUAGAUACGUUGGUGAUUCUACGGACAGUAUUUCUUUGACAGGACUUGGGACUGAUGGAGUGUGUGUAUGUGUUUGUGUAUGUGUGUGUGUGUAGCUGCUGGUGGUGGGGGAGUGACAGGCAGUGACGGUGGGUACACAGCGUAACCUUUAGAGUGGAGCCACAGGAGCAUGACGGCCAGACUGCAAGGUAACGGAGAGGGAGAGAGACAGGGAGAGGUGUUGUGGGGGUUGUUGGGAGGAGAAGGAGAAAUCCGACAGUUUUCCACCCUGCAGUUUGCUGCUUACCUGCCGUCGCUCUCCCACAGCUGCACCAACUGGGAACCACAUCUGUGACGAAAGAAGUCUGCUGUUGGCUUAAGAUUCACCGACAUACACAACAUGCCGUGUUUUAUUUUAAAAACUUCAGCCUGUCCCCCUGGGGUGAGGCAGAGGAGAGCCCAGAACACCACAGCAGACCUUGUCUAUUUCCAUCCCCCUUUCCCGGUCCCUUCCUGACGACACAGGCGGCCCCCUGGUACCAUGGCUGACCCCUUCAGUCAACUCUCUUCAGCCAGACUGACAGCUGUCAAUCAAAUGUCCGGGCUGCGUUGUGACACGCAGAGGCAUUGAUAGACAGCGGCUAUGUUUGUUAGUGUGUAUUUGUGUGUUUAUACUCAUCAGCAAUGUGCGUCCUUAAUAUCAAAGUUGUCCAAAUUCAUUGAUUAAAAAGCUGAUGUGAGCUUCAUUAUUGGAGCUUUUAUCGAUUUAACAUUUUGAAAAAUUUUGUCGAAAUAAAAGUUUUGUCCUUUCUUUUCAUUGCUCUCCGAUGUACAGUGAUAAAAGACAAAGAAGUGCUUUACUGGACUGGUUGUAUUUAAUCAAUAUACUAAUGACUAAACAGGCAGAGAGGUGGAAUUAAGCUCAGUAGCUUUGUUCAUUUUAAAAGCGCCUCCUGUGUUGUGUUAUUGAGUAAGGCAGACAUUUCCAGACGGUUAAAGGUUUUGAAGCUGUUGCUGGAACUCUGAAGAUUUCUCAUCUCGCCUCUUUUUGUUUGUGUGGGAGCAACAGACAUUUCCAUUGUUUAUCUGCAUUAUUAUUCUCCGCUGGCACCUAAACCGCUAAUGGCACAGCAUUCAGAUCAAACGGCUCUGUUUAUGGCAGCCAGGUCGGAUCACUAGUCAUAAUCAGAGCAAACAAAGUGAAGACUGUAGACUGAACUGUAUCAGCCUGUGUGGGUCAA